GUUGAAAUUAAGGAGUGCAGUUGACCAGUUUUCCUUAAGAUAUUCUUAUCUGGAACCGAUCGCCUCAAUAGUGUCCUUAGUUACAAG
rnacentral:pre_miRNA from 1 species